AGACACUUUCAAACACACUUUGGACAUUACAUUUUUAAUACACCCCAAGGCUGUAAUGCUGAACAGAAAUCGACCAACUGCUAACUAUAAAUUGGACUUCAUAUUCACGGUUGGACGAUAAAUUCAUUGAUUUAUGCAGGUACAUGUUAUAUUUUUCUUAAAAUGGUUUUAUCGUAAUUUUGACUUAAUGUAUCAAAGGUCUUUUAAAAGUAAAAUAAUUCUCAAAGAAUUCUUACUUUUUAGCUUCAUGGUGCAACCACUAGUCCAACCUUCACAACGGAAAUUUACAAAAAGAUUUUUCCUGCUAUGGACAACAUCUACAGUGCUACUUGCAGCAAAUGGACUGUGCUUGCAACUACCCUGUGAACCUUCAGAACGGAGUCUGGUUUGACAGCAAUAAAGGUCAGCUGACUUACACAACCAAUUAGAUGACAGGUUACAACUACUCAUAUUACAAUUCCGGGGGUUCAACAUGGACCUGUUUCUUAAUAGACGGCGACUACGUCGUGUCAAAGGCCAACAAUCCUUUAAUUUUAUUUGGGGCAAACUUUGAUGCUUACCUUUGUCAGUUGAUGAAGAGAAUAACCAUUUAUUCCUAUUACUAUUACAUUGAAGGAGAAUACCUAAAUGGUCCAAACAGUGACAGAAUGAACGCUUUCAUCCCCGGAUCAACUGUAACAUUAAACCAAACAUGUGCUACGUUAGCUUCAAUUCCAACAGAAGAAUUUCAUGUUCUCGUAAAGUCAAGUAUGUAAAAAUCGGCAUAUUUCUUAAUCUAUCUUUAGUCCAUUACAGAAAAAAUGAACGUUGAUCUAGACGGUC